rnacentral:rRNA from 1 species
AAUGAACGUUGGCGGCAUGGAUUAGGCAUGCAAGUCGAGCGAGAACCCGCAAGGGGGACAGCGGCGAACGGGGUAGGAAUACCUAGGUAACGUACCCUCGGGGCGAGGACAGCCACGGGAAACUGUGGGUAAUACUCGAUAAACUUCCCAAUCAUUAUGGAAGGGGAAGCAAUGGGUGUGAUUCCACCUGAGGAGCGGCUUAGGCAGUAUCAGCUAGUUGGUGAGGUAACGGCUCACCAAGGCUACGACGCUUAGGGGGUGUGAGAGCAUGGCCCCCACCACUGGCACUGAGACACUGGCCAGACACCUACGGGUGGCUGCAGUCGAGAAUCUUCGGCAAUGGACGCAAGUCUGACCGAGCGAUGCCGCGUGCGGGAUGAAGGUCUUCGGAUUGUAAACCGCUGUCAGAGGGGAUGAAGUGUACGGGAGUUAUCUCCUGUAUUUGACAGAGCCUCAGAGGAAGCACGGGCUAAGUUCGUGCCAGCCGCCGCAGUAACAC